rnacentral:rRNA from 1 species
GGCUCAGGAGGAACGCUGGCGGCAGGCUUCAUACAUGCAAGGAGAACGCCCCGCAAGGGGAGUGGCAGACGGGUGAGGAACACGUGUUUACCUACCUUUUGGUUCGGAAUAACUCAGGGAAACUUGUGCUAAUACCGGAUAAGCCCUUCGGGGGAAAGAUUUAUCGCCAAAAGAUCGGCCCGCGUCUGAUUAGCUAGUUGGUGAGGUAAAGGCUCACCAAGGCGACGAUCAGUAGCUGGUCUGAAAGGAUGAUCAGCCACACUGGGACUGAGACACGGCCCAGACUCCUACGGGAGGCAACAGUGGG